rnacentral:ncRNA from 2 species
AUGAUGAGCAUCGUUCAUGGUGCAGUUCUGACAAAAUGGGAAGACUGGUGAAAAGCCAGCGCGGCCCCGCCACUGUAAAUGCGUUGGAUUGAGCAGCAAGCCACUGCCCGGCAAGAAAAGGGUGGGAAGGCGCUCAAUCCGGAAAAGCAUCAGCCAGGAGACCUGCCAGGAACCCCCAAGCUGG